AGGCUAGUAAGACCCCUUGUAGAUGACAAGGUAGAUAGGCCAGGUGUGUAAGGGCAGCAAUGUCCUGAGCUAACUGGUACUAAUAGGUCGAGGGCUUGACCUU
rnacentral:rRNA from 1 species